UCCGUGCUGAGAUUAGCUUGCAAGGGCCAG
rnacentral:sRNA from 1 species